GGGACCAUUGUCAUUCAUGGAUGUGUUUGUGGACUUUACCUGGGAGGAGUGGCAGCUGCUGGACCCAGCUCAGAAGCACCUGUACAGGAGUGUGAUGUUGGAGAACUAUAGCAACCUGGUGUCCCUGGGGUAUCAACACACCAAACCGAGUAUCAUUUUCCAGUUGGAACAAGAAGAGCUGUGGAUGAUGCAAAUUCCAAGUGAGGGCCAUAUGGGUGAGUCGUCAGGACAUUUAGAUCUUUUCCUCCUUACUCAGAAUUGGUGUGAGUUCUGACGUGAUGUUCCCUUUGUGUUUGUACUUUUGGGUCAUUUGUAACCAUUGUCUCUUAGUUAAUCUCCUCUGUGGCAUUCUCAGCUUCCUUCUUACUUUCCCGUGGUGAUAGAUGCAUUUCAUUACACAUUUAAGCAAGCGUUUCCUCUUUAUCUCUUUUCAUGUGACUUUCACACCCCUUCUA